UGGAUUUCCGCAUUUCCGUAA
rnacentral:piRNA from 1 species